rnacentral:rRNA from 1 species
AGAAUCAACGCUGGCGGCGUGCCUAACACAUGCAAGUCGCACGAGAAAGGGGAGCAAUCCCUGAGUACAGUGGCGCACGGGUGAGUAACACGUGAAUAAUCUACCUCCGAGUGGGGAAUAAACUGAGAGAAAUCUUAGCUAAUACCGCAUAAUACCCACGGGUCAAAGCAGCAAUGCGCUUGGAGAGGAGUUCGCGGCAGAUUAGUUAGUUGGCGGGGUAAUGGCCCACCAAGACGAUGAUCUGUA